GUCACAUUGCUGUGGGUCUGGAGUCACACGUAGGCCAGACCUGAGACAGGGCUCCAGUGGCUUCAUGGGGACUACAACUCCCACAAUCCCUGAAGCAGGGCCCACACGUGUGUGGGGAAACCCGUCACUAUACAUGUAUAGAAUGUGGGCGGGUUUUGGAGCAUGUGUUUUGGGGUGCUAGAUGGUGAAGAUUUGCAGACUGAAAUCUCAACAUCAUGUGCCGAUCGUCAUAAAGUUAACCAGAAUUUGAAGAACCAAAGAUAGAGAAUCACUCGGCCAAAAUCCUGCAACACUCCCUCCCAGCAUUGUCGGUCUAUCUGCACCAAAUGGACUGUGAAUGGUACAAGACAGCAGCCUACUACCAUCUUUUCAAGGGUAAGGAGAAAUGGGGAAUAAAUGCUGGCUGAGUCAGUGAUGCCCAUAUCCUGGAAACGGUUUCUAUCUCUAGUUGCUGAAACCCAAUUGAUGUUACUGCAGGAUGAAGAGGGAGGUUGAGUGCAUCCUCCAGGAAGAGCACCAUCACAUUACUCCCGCCUACACCCACACAGUAACACAGCAACGUCACUGGAACAAAAGGCAGUGAAGCCAAAGGAGGGCUUAGAUAUAGUUCUUCGAGAUAAAACCA